GACGAACGCUGGCGGCGUGCUUAACACAUGCAAGUCGAACGGAAAGGCCCUGCUUUUGUGGGGUGCUCGAGUGGCAACGGGUGAGUAACACGUGAGUAACCUGCCCUUGACUUUGGGAUAACUUCAGGAAACUGGGGCUAAUACCGGAUAGGAGCUCCUGCUGCAUGGUGGGGGUUGGAAAGUUUCGGCGGUUGGGGAUGGACUCGCGGCUUAUCAGCUUGUUGGUGGGGUAGUGGCUUACCAAGGCUUUGACGGGUAGCCGGCCUGAGAGGGUGACCGGCCACAUUGGGACUGAGAUACGGCCCAGACUCCUACGGGAGGCAGCAGUGGGGAAUAUUGCACAAUGGGCGGAAGCCUGAUGCAGCAACGCCGCGUGCGGGAUGACGGCCUUCGGGUUGUAAACCGCGUUCGCCUGUGACGAAGCGUGAGUGACGGUAAUGGGUAAAGAAGCACCGGCUAACUACGUG
rnacentral:rRNA from 1 species